UCCGUAGGUGAACCUGCGGAAGGAUCAUUACCGAGUGCGGGGCCCUCUGGGUCCAACCUCCCAUCCGUGUCUAUCUGUACCCUGUUGCUUCGGCGUGGCCACGGCCCGCCGAAGACUAACAUUUGAACACUGUCUGAAGUUUGCAGUCUGAGUUUUUAGUUAAACAAUAAUUAAAACUUUCAACAACGGAUCUCUUGGUUCCGGCAUCGAUGAAGAACGCAGCGAAAUGCGAUAAUUAAUGUGAAUUGCAGAAUUCAGUGAAUCAUCGAGUCUUUGAACGCACAUUGCGCCCCCUGGUAUUCCGGGGGGCAUGCCUGUCCGAGCGUCAUUGCUGCCCUCAAGCACGGCUUGUGUGUUGGGCUUCCGUCCCUGGUAACGGGGACGGGCCCAAAAGGCAGUGGCGGCACCAUGUCUGGUCCUCGAGCGUAUGGGGCUUUGUCACCCGCUACCCGUAGGUCCAAGCUGGCAGCGUACCCUCGCAAACCAAUCUUUUUAACCCAGGUUGACCUCGGAUCCAGGUAGGGAUACCCGCUGAACUUAAGCAUAUCAAUAAGCGGAGGAAAAGAAACCAACAGGGAUUGCCUC
rnacentral:rRNA from 1 species